UUUCACUUUAUAAAUCUUCUAAUAGAGGGAAUUAUAUCUACAGAGCCUGUACUGAAGUGUGAUUUUUGUUAUUUUUUUUCCCUUCCCUGAGAUUUGGACCAACUGAAUGCAUGUUUUGAGAAAGUGGUAGCAAACAAUCCCUUCUGUGACAAUAGAAGCAUUCCUGUAUUUCACAGGCAAGAGCUUGCCAAAAUGAUUUAUGACCAAGGUGAAUGUGUGUCACUGUGAACCUGCGAACAUGUAUUGAUUUCCACAUGAUGUUCAUCACCGGCCACAUUUUGCAUCAGCAGAAACUCCCACAUUAGAGAUACAUCCAUUGGGUGGAAGCUGACCAAAUAAGAGGGCUCUGUGUCCAACAGCUUUGUGGUUCAGAGGGCCUGAGCUUUGUCUGCAACUUCCUUGUGCAUGUAGGAAUGGUCCUUUGAGGAAUGACCAUAUUGAAUGGAAGGAUGUUUCCAGAGGUGUGGUGAAGAUUUGUGCAUCUUGAAAAAGUGGUGCUGCAAGAAGCCAGAGAAAAGUUCUGGGAGAAAACAUAAUUGCAGAAGGGCACAGGGAAAUCAUCUUCACAAAAGAUAUUUGAGUUGAAGAAAUGAGCUCCAAAGGCUUGCUCCUUGUUUAUUGAAGUCAGAUAUGUUUCAAGUUAGAGCUGAGACAAGCUUGCAAAGGAAAAUGAAUCAUUAAAAAUUUACUUCACCUGGAGAAUACUCCUCACGUAUCUGUAGAGAUUGGAGGGAUCCUGACAUGAUCUCGACAUCUGAGUUAAUGUGGUCUCUGGAGGAAGGAUGGUGCACAGGAUAUGCUGAGGUCUGGGUUAUGCAGGGAAAGUGUAAUGUGGAGGAUCUUGGCCAGAGACACGAUGGUUCUCUUCAGGCAGAAGUUGUCCCAGUGAUUUGAAGCUAUCUGAUGUUACAGGAAUACUCACUCCAGAAAAGCCAGGGUGAAAACUAAGGGUGUUUCCUUCAGUGCAAGGUUUGAAUGCUUUUCAGUGAUUUAGUAUUUUAUAAUAGUUUUGUAAUAGUUCCAUAAAAUAGUUUUGUAUGAUUUCAUCAAGCACCCGAACAGAACCACCUUGUAUCAUUCUAUCUAUCAUACAUAUUCUACUGGAGAUACCAAAGUGAGACUAAUGCAGAUGACCCAGAAUGAGUAGAAGAUCAGAGCCUUUCUGCAACAACCUGAUAAAAACCAAAAUGUCUUCAAGAUCUGUGAUUGUGGACUUCAUUGUUAAUCUGAUGUUUGCUGUUCUACUACUUCAGAGAAGAACCAUGUACACUGAAGAACAAACCUGAAAGAGUCAAAAUUUACACAUUCAGAAUGGAAUUUCACAGGACUUUGUCACAAGAAAUCUUUUAGCAUCUCCUCCAAGAAGCAGAUGUUGCCAACGCAGCAAGC